CUUAUGCGUUGUUGGGUAGGGGAGCGUUCUGUAAGCCUGCGAAGGUGGCCUGUGAGGGUUGCUGGAGGUAUCAGAAGUGCGAAUGCUGACAUAAGUAACGAUAAAGCGGGUGAAAAGCCCGCUCGCCGGAAGACCAAGGGUUCCUGUCCAACGUUAAUCGGGGCAGGGUGAGUCGACCCCUAAGGCGAGGCCGAAAGGCGUAGUCGAUGGGAAACGGGUUAAUAUUCCCGUACUUGGUGUUACUGCGAAGGGGGGACGGAGAAGGCUAUGUUGGCCGGGCGACGGUUGUCCCGGUUUAAGCGUGUAGGUGUGUGUUCCAGGUAAAUCCGGUUCACUUUAACACUGAGGCGUGACGACGAGGCACUACGGUGCUGAAGCAACAAAUGCCCUGCUUCCAGGAAAAGCCUCUAAGCAUCAGGUAACAUCAAAUCGUACCCCAAACCGACACAGGUGGUCAGGUAGAGAAUACCAAGGCGCUUGAGAGAACUCGGGUGAAGGAACUAGGCAAAAUGGUGCCGUAACUUCGGGAGAAGGCACGCUGACAC
rnacentral:rRNA from 1 species